CUGCGCGCUUCCGGCACCCACAGACGGGUUCCAGGUUCCACCGUGGCGCUCCAGAGCGCCGCGCUUCUCGGGCGCACCUCUUCUCUGCCCUCUGUCACCUCAUACCCGUCAGUCCGCUCAGGACUGAUGAACCAAGUACUUUCUGAUGGAGACCGAGUUGGUCGAUGAGGCAGAGCUCAGGGGUUACCUAGUUGGGGCCAGGGUAAGGGAACAAAUGGAAAGAACCGUUCGUAAAUCUUUAAACAGCUCUUAGAGGUUAUUUGCAAGAAUAAUUCCUAAGCAUCGGAAAUGCUGGGACAUUCUUGUGUGGGAGAAGUGUGCACACAACAAACAUAUCUUUCAGAAAGUCGAAAUGAGAUAGAUGGGAGAAAGUAGCAAUGGCAGGUUGCAAUGAAGAUACCGGGGCUUAGUUAAGCAAAGCAGUCGUGUUAAGGAAGACUAUUACGGCAUUAUUACUCUUCGACAAGGUGCAUAGCUUUUCCCAUUGAUAAUGGGAAAUGGUUAUGUCUCUGUGUUAGUGCGCAAGCAUUAUGCUCAAGGAGGAGAAAAGUUUAGCAUAAAAAGCCCAUGGAGUUUUAGACUUCAACCGAAUUCUUCCCCAAGUGCAUCAUCUUAGAAUAUAAAACACAGUCCUGGAUGACUGUAACCCCCAAAUUCAAGAAAAGGCAAAUUCAGAAAAUAGGUAAAUUCAAAAAAGUUUGUAGUCUCAUGAUAUUAAAUUUUUUCUGUGUGCUCAUAUAUUGCUCCCUUCCCCAAAGUUUACAACUAACCAGAUUUUCAAUGGCUCUAGCACCUACAGAAAGAACUACUGACAUACCUAAAAAGAGCUUUAACAUCAAAGGUAAUUUGUACUGGCUGAGCGUCCUGGCUUUGGAACAUUGUGAUCUAGCGAUGUGCCUCUGGGCAUGGGUUCACCACUGGAGAAAUGAAAGUUAGAAGACAAGGAUGCUCACCCUCUCAAAGAGUGGUAAAGAUUAAGUUAAAAAAUACUGUAUCACAAAAAAAUAGGUGAUAUAGUAGUUGUCCCAGGCGGUCCUGACCACUUUUAUAACAAAAGGAGGCGUGUCCAUCCGCGCACACCAUCUCAAAUACAUGCACAUACUAAGUCAAGACAACGCCCUUUGUCGAAACAGGAAGCAGCUGUCUCCAAAUAUAAAGAGGGCUGCAGGGGCCUGGUCUCUGCAUCUUCCAACUCUACAGCAGGGCCUGGAGAGAAGGCGAAGCAAACUAGAAAGUGCUCGCUCGGCCCUGGUCGCCGGAGGACACAGGUUCUAGACCUGAAUUUAGGGUCGCAGACUUGCGGUGCUAACUCCUGAGGGUUCCCAGGGUUUCCCGCUCGCUUUCACAGACCACCACAAGCUUAAGACCAAGAAUCACUUCCCAGGAUGGCCUGGGAUACUCAGUGAUGAACCCACGGUGACCUGGUGCUUCCUGCCCCGAGACCUGACAGCCUCAACACUCUGGGUAAAGUAAAUUAAAAACCCGGACAACUGGAGUCUUUGAGAAUGAAAACGACAUCGGGAUUCCAGACAGCUGACUCGCUCAGAGCUCCGACUGGGUGUACGCACGACGAGUAAAGCCAACUCCUACAACGACACGUCACCGUGCUGGGCCGCUUCUUGGCUGGUGGGCGGGGCGACCCCUACUUCCGGAUCCGGCCUCUUCUGGGUAACGCCUCACCUGCGGUUCCCUAGGUUACCUGAUGGCGGGAGGGGGCGGGGUGGGCGGGGGCGGGGCGAAGCGUUCCAACUCUGGGUAGCCAGCUCCUGGUUGGUGAGGCUCUUCCCGACUAGAUUAAAGGGAAAAACGCAACUUUUUUCAGACUACUGAUAACUCUGACUGGAGCAAAACCUGAGGAAUAUGUUUUUUUUCUAUGUUCCACACGGCAUUUGACAAUUCGGAGAAGCUGAGGAAAGAGAGGGCUUUUUUGUUUGUUUUUUUUUCCAACAGGGUAGAGAAACCUGGCUGUCCUGGAACUCACGCUGUAGACCAGGAUGGCCUCGAACUCAGUAAUCCACCUGCCUCUGCCUCCCAAGUGCUGGGAUUAAAGGCGUGCGCCACCACUGCCCAGCGAAAAGGGCUUCUUUGGUUUGGUUUGAUUUUUGUCUUGUUUUUUUUAUUAACCAUGGAUAUGGAUGACGAAAACGGUCAGAUGAGCAAUGAACAAUUCAAUAUACGCUGACCUUUAUACUCAAAAUGGUUAAGAUGAUAAAUUUUAUUAUGU
ensembl:processed_transcript A330035P11Rik RIKEN cDNA A330035P11 gene